GCUAGCCAAAAGGUUUUGAAAGUUGGAUCAUCUUAUCCAUCGAGGCUGUAAAAGUGUUCUUACACUAUAAUUUUGUAAGAAAGCAUCAGGGAAACCUAGGCAGGCACAUAGAAUUAGGAAUUAGAAUACAAGGACUAUUGAGAGUAAAUAUUAGUUCAUCAGGAGAGCUGUAGCUCCCCCCACCGGUGAUGUGGAGCAGAGCAUGCUGGGCGAUCUCUAACUGAGGAGAAGGAAGUAACUACAAAAAGUACACAAGCCGUGAUAAGUUCCAGCCAUCUCCUGUGAUUACAUUAAGUUAGCAUUCUUUGUUUUAGCCAAGGCCAGUGUGCGUCCUUAAGAAAUAACCACACACUCUUGUUUAACACGAUUGUCAAGCCAUACGUUGUUCUGUGCCGUUACUGCUCUAUGUGAAUCAUCGUCAUUAAACAACCUCAACUGGAAUCCUACCGGUCUGUCAUCUGUGCCCUUACAAGCACCUGGAAGAGAUAUGGGAGAGAUAUAGUGCUAAGUUAAACCUAAACCUAUAGAAUAUACAGUCCACCAAGUCUUCAACUACAUUGUGGUCCAUUCGAGAUGGAUCUUCAGAGCUUUUUCCCGGAGCAAAAUGCAAGACCACUAUGCUAGAUGGAUGUCAUAGCCUACAAUAUGUGUCUCACCUUUUCAUAGGCAUCGAUUAGAUGGUUGCAUUCAAGACAAGGUCAUUUUUGCCCUAAGACUUGUGUAAAGUUGAUAGAAUAUUUUUCAAAAGGGUUCACAGCUGUAAUGGCUGCCAAAGGUGCUUCCACCAAGUAUUCUGGGGUAUGAAGACAUAGCCUACACAAUCAAGACAUCUUAGUUUUUAUUUGUUCAUUAAUUAGGAACACGUUCUAUAAUUUGUCCUUCACUUUGGAAAUGUGGAGUAGGUUGUUUGCAUCGGUAGCAAAAAAAAUGUAAGAAAUGUCUAAUUUUAAGGCAGCAAAAUGUGAAGACUGCGCAAGGGUUGUGGAGACUUUCACUAGGCACGGUGACUAUGGUUUCAUACGUUUGUUUAGUUGAUUUAUAAGCAUUUUUUGAAUGGCGAGAUAAAUAUUUUUCAAUAAAUAGGAAUCAGUGAAAUGUGCCUGAAAAACCAAGAUAUGAUGUUGUCCAACAUAUUUGGGUUCUGUGAAUAAAACGGGUUGAGAGCAA